rnacentral:rRNA from 1 species
UACAGAGGGGGCAAGCGUUGUUCGGAAUUACUGGGCGUAAAGGGCUCGUAGGCGGCCAACUAAGUCAUACGUGAAAUCCCUCAGCUUAACUGGGGAACUGCGUGUGAUACUGGAUGGCUUGGAUUUGGGAGAGGGAUGCGGAAUUCCAGGUGUAGCGGUGAAAUGCGUAGAUAUCUGGAGGAAUACCGGUGGCGAAGGCGGCAUCCUGGACCGGCAUUGACGCUGAGGAGCGAAAGCCAGGGGAGCAAACGGG